UACGAAGGGGGGCUAGCGUUGCUCGGAAUCACUGGGCGUAAAGGGUGCGUAGGCGGGUCUUUUAAGUCAGGGGGUGAAAUCCUGGAGCUCAACUCCAGAACUGCCUUUGAUACUGAGGAUCUUGAGUUCGGGAGAGGUGAGUGGAACUGCGAGUGUAGAGGUGAAAUUCGUAGAUAUUCGCAAGAACACCAGUGGCGAAGGCGGCUCACUGGCCCGAUACUGACGCUGAGGCACGAAAAGCGUGGGGAGCAAACAGG
rnacentral:rRNA from 1 species